rnacentral:lncRNA from 1 species
GCCGUUUACCCGCGCUUUUUUGAAUUUCUCACGUUGAAAUUCAGAGCACUGGGCAGAAAUCACAUUGCGUCAGCACCGUCAACGGCCCUCGCAAUGCUUUGUUUUAAUUAGACAGUCGGAUUCCCCCGGUCCGUGCCAGUUCUGAGUUGGCUGUUUUCUGCCGGCCGAAGCAAGAACCUCAGGCGCGAAGCCCACGGAAAAUGCACAGCUGUGGCUUUCCACAGGAAGCUCCCGACGCUGGUCCAGGCUCGGCCGCACCGCUUUUUACGGCGGCGAGCCUCGCCCAGUCCAGGUGCAGUGCCGUUCCUGCUUCUGGACCCCAGCCCGACCGGCUCAGCCCUCAGAGCCAAUCCUUUUCCCAAGGUUACGGAUCCGUUUUGCCGACUUCCCUUACCUACAUUGGUCUAUCGACUAGAGGCUGUUCACCUUGGAGACCUGCUGCGGAUGUGGGUACGGUCCGGCACGGAAAUCACACUCCCUCACUCGGAUUUUCAAGGGCCGACAGGAGCGCACCGGACAGCGCAAGAGCCGCACUGCUCUACGGAGCCACCGUCCCUAUCUCGGGGUGAACCCAUUCCAGGGACUCGAUCUCCUUACAGACAAAAUAAAACUCUUCCCGGGGCUCCCAUUGGCGUCUCCGAGCUGGUUUGCGUUCUUCCGCACUGUUCCCUGGAGGACC